rnacentral:lncRNA from 13 species
GGCCACCCAGAGGCAUAACAGAGAGGGUAUGCCUGUUGCCUGGCUUCUGGGUCUGCCCCAGUCAUAUACCUAUGCAGGGAUCAUCUUUACAUCCUCAGAUCCCAGCACAGUGGCAGACUCCUCAUAAAUACAGGUUGGAUAGAACUGAAUAUCUCACACCUACUAAUUAGUAUUCCAUAGCCCACAAGACUGGGACAUCCAAGACCCUGGGUUUAGGGAAAAUGUAUGCAGGAGGGGCCCUAAGAAAAAAUGGCCCCACCGGCUAGGCUAGAUUCUGCAGCCUAAGAAAGGAGUCUAAAUUCAGACAGCCACCAAAGGCCUGUCACACCCAAGAUGUACAGUGAGAGUCGUCUCCAUGUAGCUAAGCUGGGAGGAGUCCAGCACAGCCCCUCAUGGUUGACAAAUGACUCAUGUAAGGAUGGAUGGGCACAGUGGCAUCUGGGAAGGACCAGGGUCUUCAGGAAAGGGGGUGCCUAAUUCAGAGCAUGGGCCGGGCUGUGCAGAGGCCCCACAAGGUUCAUCUCUCUUGGUGGGCAGUGGGUUCCCAGAGUUGUAAAAUUUCAUUUCUCCUGGAGCAUCUGAUCCAUGGGUACUCUGAACUGGUGAAACGGGAAAAGUUCCCUGGUCCCCCUCGCAGGGCGUGCAAUGGGGGUGUGGCUCGCUUCUUCAGUGCCCUGCUGCUCAGACCUCUAGGAGAAGCAUGCAGGCAGGAAGGCUGUGGGGCAGCUCCAACCUCACGGCAGCAUCUGGGGGUGAAUGUUUACAGCUGAAGCCCAGUGGGUAUGUGUUACAGGAUGCUCUUUCAGUUUUGCCAUCCAUAGGCAGCUUGUGCCCAUCAGCUCAGUUAGACCCCCCGCCUUAUUGCAAGGACAGAGGGCUUUCUGUAUCCUGGGAUUUCUUGCCUUGGUGUAUGGGAAGAAUUGGAUCACACAUGGGCUUGGAGAAUGAGUGCAAGGUUUUACUGAGUAGGAGUAUUUCUCACCAGAUAGGGGAGCCAGAAGGGAGACUGAGUGGGAAGGUGGUUUUCCCUGGAGUCAGGCUGAUCAGCGGCCAGGCUCUCUUCCGACUGCACUUGGUGGAACUCUGCGUUGUUCUGCUGGUCGACGGCCUGUCCAUGUCUGCUAGUGCCUGUUGGAAAUAA